UACAGAGGGGGCAAGCGUUGUUCGGAAUUACUGGGCGUAAAGGGCGCGUAGGCGGCCUUCUAAGUCGAACGUGAAAUCCCCGGGCUCAACCCGGGAACUGCGUCCGAUACUGGAAGGCUUGAAUCCGGGAGAGGGAUGCGGAAUUCCAGGUGUAGCGGUGAAAUGCGUAGAUAUCUGGAGGAAUACCGGUGGCGAAGGCGGCAUCCUGGACCGACAUUGACGCUGAGGAGCGAAAGCUAGGGGAGCAAACGGGG
rnacentral:rRNA from 1 species